rnacentral:piRNA from 1 species
UUUUUUGCGUGAACUUUGGCU